UACGGAGGGUGCAAGCGUUGUCCGGAUUUAUUGGGCUUAAAGGGUGCGUAGGUGGUUUGAUAAGUCCGGGGUGAAAGCCCACAGCUCAACUGUGGAACUGCCCUGGAUACUGUCAGACUUGAGGGUAGACGAGGUUGGCGGAAUAGAAGGUGUAGCGGUGAAAUGCAUAGAUACCUUCUAGAACCCCGAUUGCGUAGGCAGCUGACUAGGCUACACCUGACACUGAGGCACGAAAGCGUGGGGAGCGAACAGG
rnacentral:rRNA from 1 species